rnacentral:misc_RNA from 1 species
AGAACGAUUACCACUUUGUGUUUCAUGACUGGGGUGAAGUCGUAACAAGGUAACCCUAGGGGAACCUGGGGUUGGAUCACCUCCUUACUAUUACGUCGAUGACGCCCUUGAUGCAGUGCCUACACAGAUUGUUUUGUUUAUUUAUAAAGACUCGCUUCGCGAGUGUCGCGAAUAGCUGCUUAAACGGAACUAACCUUCCUGACAGCCAUUCUGCUCGCUAAAGUGGUAGUUGUUUUUAAAUAGAAUGCUAAUCAAUAACAUUAUUAUUGAUUAGUGUUUUUUUAUAAUGCACUAAUGUUCUUUAACAAUUUGGAAAGCUGAUAUUAAUAGUAAUCAAUCAAAAGAGUAAUUGAGAAGUCGAAAGACGCACUUUUUACUCUACUUGACUUGAAUUGCUUGUUAUCGACAGCGCCGUAAGGCGGGUUAAUCGACUUGUUCGGUUAACAAAGA